rnacentral:rRNA from 1 species
UACAGAGGGUGCGAGCGUUGUUCGGAAUUAUUGGGCGUAAAGGGCGCGUAGGCGGCGCCACAAGUCACUUGUGAAAACUCUGGGCUCAACCCAGAGCCUGCAGGCGAAACUGUGGUGCUGGAGUAUGGGAGAGGUGCGUGGAAUUCCCGGUGUAGCGGUGAAAUGCGUAGAUAUCGGAAGGAACACCUGUGGCGAAAGCGGCUCACUGGACCAUUACUGACGCUGAGGCACGAAAGCUAGGGGAGCAAACAGG